AAAAAAWCGCCUGAAAUUUGAAACACCUCAUUCUGUUUUCCCCAGCAAAAUUAGAAAUAUCCCUGUUCACCUGGAAGGGCUGGUUUUGUGUGUGUGCGCACACCCCAGCAUGCUGUUGUCUUGGGUAUGGGAGUCUGCAACCAGCAGAGCAGGAUUCAGAUUCCUGUCCCAGCUGGUGACAACAGCUAUGCCGGCACUGUGUUUAGAGCGUGGACUCCAGCCCACACUCGUUUUGCAUCCAGACUGCUCGCGUCCCAAAUAGCACUUAGCAACAGACAGGCUUGUGAACAGCAGGGGAGUUUGACCUAAGAGACCUGAGAUCUUCGGCAUUACUCUUCAUCACUCUGUUGUGACAUUAUGCUGGACAACCUUGAAAACUGGAUCUCAGCUACAAAGAGAGAACAACAGAGGUGCAGGUAAGUCACGGAUCCUUCAAGGCACUCAUCUAAAUGUGACAUAAAAAAAUAGCCGAGCUUCAGUCUGAACAGACAGUUAAGGACUGCUAUUGCUGGCAACCUGUCUGAAAUGGCUGUGAGGUGUUC
rnacentral:lncRNA from 1 species